rnacentral:tRNA from 1 species
GCCCCCGUGGUGCAACUGGCUAGACACGCAUGUCUUAGGAACAUGUGCCGCAAGGCUUAGAGGUUCGAAUCCUCUCGGGGGCACAA